GAUCCUGGCUCAGGAUGAACGCUAGCUACAGGCUUAACACAUGCAAGUCGAGGGGGAACGACAUCGAAAGCUUGCUUUUGAUGGGCGUCGACCGGCGCACGGGUGAGUAACGCGUAUCCAACCUGCCUACCACUUGGGGAUAACCUUGCGAAAGUAAGACUAGUACCCAAUGACAUCCCACGAAGACAUCUGAAUGGGAUUAAAGAUUUAUCGGUGAUGGAUGGGGAUGCGUCUGAUUAG
rnacentral:rRNA from 1 species